AGAAUCAACGCUGGCGGCGUGCCUAACACAUGCAAGUCGAACGCGAGAGUCCCGCAAGGGACAAUUGAGUGGCAAACGGGUGAGUAACACGUGGGUGACCUGCCUUCGAGUGGGGGAUAACGUCCCGAAAGGGACGCUAAUACCGCAUGACAUCCUGCCUUUGGACAGGCGGAGAUCAAAGCCGGGGAUCGCAAGACCUGGCGCUUGGAGAGGGGCCCGCGUCUGAUUAGCUAGUUGGUGAGGUAACGGCUCACCAAGGCGACGAUCAGUA
rnacentral:rRNA from 1 species